AACCUGUGCAGCCUGUGCAACCUUGGCUGCCUUAACACCUCAGCAGUGGCACAGAGUGAUCGCCUCCAUACCAUACCACACUGAUGCAGUAAUUCAUGCAGAAGGAGCCCCGACCAAGUAUUGAGUGCAUGUACUGUACAGUACGUUGACAUACUUUUCAGUAGGCCAACAUUUCUGUGUUAA